rnacentral:sRNA from 1 species
CCCCGGGCUGACGCCCGGGGCUAAGGCUGUUCCGCCGCUUCGCGGCU